rnacentral:misc_RNA from 1 species
GAUGAAGAACUCAGCGAAAUGCGAUAAGUAAUGUGAAUUGCAGAAUUCAGUGAAUCAUCGAAUCUUUGAACGCACAUUGCGCCCGCCAGUAUUCUGGCGGGCAUGCCUGUUCGAGCGUCAUUUCAACCAUCAAGCCCCAGGCUUGUGUUGGGGUCCUGCGGCUGCCGCAGGCCCUGAAAAACAGUGGCGGGCUCGCUGUCACACCGAGCGUAGUAAUACAUCUCGCUUUGGACGUGCGGCGGGUUCUUGCCGUUAAACACCCCCCUUCUCAAGGUUGACCUCGGAUCAGGUAGGAAUACCCGCUGAACUUAAGCAUAUCAAUAAGCGGAGGA